rnacentral:rRNA from 1 species
UUCAAGAUUCUAAGAGCAAACGGUGGAUGCCUUGGCAUCUGGAGCCGAAGAAGGACGUAUAAAUCUGCGAUAAGCCUCGGGGAGCUGAUAAUAGAGCUUUGAUCCGAGGAUCUCCGAAUGGGGAAACCCCGCCAGGCCCUUUGGGUGACCUGGUGACUCCCGCCUGAAUAUAUAGGGCGGGUAGAGGGAACGUGGGGAAGUGAAACAUCUCAGUACCCACAGGAAGAGAAAGCAAAAGCGAUUCCGUUAGUAGUGGCGAGCGAAACCGGAAGAGGCCAAACCGAUCAUGUGUGAUAUCCGGUAGGAGUUGCAUGGUCGGGGUUGCGGGACUUUCCGUACAGUUCUACCGAGCUGUGAGGGCAAUGAGCGCGAUAUAGACGAAUGGUCUUGAAAGGCCAGUCAUAGAGGGUGCGAACCCCGUAGUCGAAAUGUCGUCGCCUGUCCGGAGAGUAUCCCAAGUAGCACGGGGCCCGAGAAAUCCCGUGUGAAUCUGUCAGGACCACCUGAUAAGCCUAAAUACUCCCAGAUGACCGAUAGCGGACAAGUACCGUGAGGGAAAGGUGAAAAGUACCCCGGGAGGGGAGUGAAAUAGUACCUGAAACCGUUUGCUUACAAACCGUCGGAGCACCCUUGUUGGUGUGACAGCGUGCCUUUUGAAGAAUGAGCCUGCGAGUUAGUGAUAUGUGGCGAGGUUAACCCGUGAGGGGCAGCCGUAGCGAAAGCGAGUCUUAAUAGGGCGUAUGAGUCGCAUGUUCUAGACCCGAAGCGAAGUGAUCUAUCCAUGGCCAGGUUGAAGCGACGGUAAGACGUCGUGGAGGACCGAACCCACUUCAGUUGAAAAUGGAGGGGAUGAGCUGUGGAUAGGGGUGAAAGGCCAAUCAAACUUCGUGAUAGCUGGUUCUCUCCGAAAUGCAUUUAGGUGCAGCGUUGCGUGUUUCUUGCCGGAGGUAGAGCUACUGGAUGGACGAUGGGCCCCAAAAGGUUACUGACUUCAGCCAAACUCCGAAUGCCGGUAAGUGAGAGCGCAGCAGUGAGACGGUGGGGGAUAAGCUUCAUCGUCGAGAGGGAAACAACCCAGACCACCAUCUAAGGUCCCUAAGCGCGUGCUAAGUGGGAAAGGAUGUGGAGUUGCAUAGACAACCAGGAGGUUGGCUUAGAAGCAGCCACCCUUGAAAGAGUGCGUAAUAGCUCACUGGUCAAGUGAUUCCGCGCCGACAAUGUAACGGGGCUCAAGCACGCCACCGAAGUUGUGGCAUUUAUAUUAUAGGCAGGCCUUCGUGGUCCAGCCGUAUGGAUGGGUAGGAGAGCGUCGUGUGGCCAGCGAAGCGGCGGUGUGAACCAGCCGUGGAGGCCACACGAGUGAGAAUGCAGGCAUGAGUAGCGAAAGACGGGUGAGAAACCCGUCCUCCGAAAGACCAAGGGUUCCAGGGCCAGGCUAAUCCGCCCUGGGUAAGUCGGGACCUAAGGCGAGGCCGACAGGCGUAGUCGAUGGACAACGGGUUGAUAUUCCCGUACCGAUGAAGAACCGCCCAAGACAAUCCAGUAAUGCUAAGUGUCUGAAUCCUUGAUUCGAUCCCUUCGGGGUGACGGUCUUGGCCUAGCACACGACCCUACGCUGGGGCGUUUAGCGUAUUAACAGGUGUGACGCAGGAAGGUAGCUGAGCCGGGCGAUGGUUGUCCCGGUCUAAGGAUGUAGGGCAGAAGAUAGGCAAAUCCGUCUUCUAUGUAGCCUGAGACCCGAUGGGUAGUCCUCACGGACGAAAUCAGUGAUCCUAUGCUGCCGAGAAAAGCAUCGACGCGAGGUUCCAAUCGCCCGUACCCCAAACCGACUCAGGUGGUCAGGUAGAGAAUACUAAGGAGAUCGAGAGAAUCGUGGUUAAGGAACUCGGCAAAAUGCCCCCGUAACUUCGGGAGAAGGGGGGCCUGAGGCGUGUAGGGAUUUACUCCUGAAGCGUUUGAAGGCCGCAGAGACCAGUGGGAAGCGACUGUUUACUAAAAACACAGGUCCGUGCUAAGUCGCAAGACGAUGUAUACGGACUGACGCCUGCCCGGUGCUGGAAGGUUAAGAGGAACGGUUAGUCCGCAAGGGCGAAGCUGAGAAUUUAAGCCCCAGUAAACGGCGGUGGUAACUAUAACCAUCCUAAGGUAGCGAAAUUCCUUGUCGGGUAAGUUCCGACCUGCACGAAUGGCGUAACGACUUCCCAGCUGUCUCAACCGCGAACUCGGCGAAAUUGCACUACGAGUAAAGAUGCUCGUUACGCGCAGCAGGACGGAAAGACCCCGUGACCUUUACUACAGCUUGGUAUUGGUGUUCGGUGUGGCUUGUGUAGGAUAGGUGGGAGACUGUGAAGCUCGGACGCUAGUUCGGGUGGAGUCAUUGUUGAAAUACCACUCUGGUCACUCUGGAUAUCUAACUUCGAACCGUAAUCCGGUUCAGGGACAGUGCCUGGUGGGUAGUUUAACUGGGGCGGUUGCCUCCUAAAGAGUAACGGAGGCGCCCAAAGGUUCCCUCAACCUGGUUGGUAAUCAGGUGUCGAGUGUAAGUGCACAAGGGAGCUUGACUGUGAGACUGACAAGUCGAGCAGGGACGAAAGUCGGGACUAGUGAUCCGGCAGUGGCUUGUGGAAGCGCUGUCGCUCAACGGAUAAAAGGUACCUCGGGGAUAACAGGCUGAUCUUGCCCAAGAGUCCAUAUCGACGGCAUGGUUUGGCACCUCGAUGUCGGCUCGUCGCAUCCUGGGGCUGGAGUAGGUCCCAAGGGUUGGGCUGUUCGCCCAUUAAAGCGGUACGCGAGCUGGGUUUAGAACGUCGUGAGACAGUUCGGUCCCUAUCCGCUGCGCGCGUAGGAAAUUUGAGAAGAUCUAUCCCUAGUACGAGAGGACCGGGAUGGACGAACCUCUGGUGUGUCAGUUGUUCCGCCAGGAGCACCGCUGAUUAGCUACGUUCGGAACGGAUAACCGCUGAAAGCAUCUAAGCGGGAAGCCGGCUUCGAGAUGAGAUUUCCAUCCCUUUUAGGGUGAAGGCUCCCGGCUAGACUACCGGGUUGAUAGGCAGGAUGUGGAAGCGAGGACUAAAGACUCGUGGAGCUGACCUGUACUAAUAAGCCGAUAUCUUGAAAACAC